rnacentral:rRNA from 1 species
UGGGGAAUUUUGCACAAUGGGGGAAACCCUGAUGCAGCGACGCCGCGUGAUUUAGAAGGCCUUCGGGUUGUAAAAAUCUUUUUUACGGGAUGAAAAUGACAGUACCGUAAGAAUAAGGUCCGGCUAAAUACGUGCCAGCAGCCGCGGUAAUACGUAUGGACCGAGCGUUGUCCGGAAUCAUUGGGCGUAAAGGGUACGUAGGCGACCUAGUAAGUUAGAAGUGAAAUAAUAUAGCUCAACUAUAUAAAGCUUUUAAAACUGCUAGGCUUGAGAGAUGGAAGGGAAAGUGGAAUUCCUAGUGUAGCGGUGAAAUGCGCAGAUAUUAGGAAGAAUACCGGUGGCGAAGGCGACUUUCUGGUCAUCAUCUGACGCUGAGGUACGAAAGCGUGGGUAGCAAACAGG